CCUGGACUGUUUUAUCAGACCUAUCAUCUCCUACAGGGGUCAGAGGUCGUUACACAUACAGAUGAUGGGGAUCCUGGACUGUUUUAUCAGACCUAUCAUCUCCUACAGGGGUCAGAGGUCAUUACACAUACAGAUGAUGGGGAUCCUGGACUGUUUAAUCAGACCUAUCAUCUCCUACAGGGGUCAGAGGUCAUUACACAUACAGAUGAUGGGGAUCCUGGACUGUUUAAUCAGACCUAUCAUCUCCUACAGGGGUCAGAGGUCAUUAUAGAUGGGGAUC